AAACGAGAAGAGAAUAGAGGAUAAACCGAUUCGAAUGCACACCCCUAGGUCAAACAGUUAGAGCAUCAGCUCUUUAAUCGAGUGAGCUGAUAUAUCUGAGUUCAAACUUGUUGGAGGCUAUUUUCUCUCGAACAAAAUGAAAAUCUAUGUUAAUAUCACUGCUGGGGUUACGCGGUAUUCUAACGGCCGUAUCAGUUGAAAAGCAUAUCUUCCUGCUUCUCCUUCAUGUCUUGCAUCACUAUAUCUGCUAGCUACAUCACUUUUUCUUGAUUGGAUAAGUUGCAAAUCAUUUUGUACAAUAUUUGAUGACAGAUCUAAUACGCGCUAGUUGUUCCAUGGCAUGUUAGUUUACCCAGAGUUGAAUCGAGGUUAUGCCUAGAUCAGGUAAAUUUUUAACCUUUGGUAUCUAAUCAAACAAUUAUAAAUGCAGUCUAAUCUAUAUCUAUCUAUAUAAAAAUAAUUGAGGGACUUGGACCAGUUACGUGGCACUCCUAUUUGGCAGGAAAUGCAUUUUCCUGCCUCUAUGUAUUUUUCGGAUUUUACACUUCAAAAUUUAUUGCCAAAACACGAAAAGUCUCUUUACACUAUGAACGAACCGCUUCCCAUCCACAACGAUUCUUUUCUUCCCACAAACCAUUCUGUUUCCAUACUUAUUUCUCUUUCCAUACUCUAUCAAUUCUAUCAGUUACUCAGUAGCCUUUCAUCGAUAUUUUUUCUCCUCAUCUUCUCUGCCUUUACUUUGUUAAAUUUCUCUACACUAAUCUUCUUUGUUCUUUUUUGGGGGAAGGAAAAAAUUCGUUAAUUCACUGGUAAUCACUAUAUUUUUCACUCACCAGAAAAUUCCUCACCAAAUGCCAACUUCGCCGCUAAUGAAGUAUUCGAAGAAAAACAUAUCUCGCCCACGGUCUCAGCAAAUAUUGAUAUUCACUCCACAACUACCGGCCUAUAAUUCAAAACUAAUCUAUACAAUCUAUGUGUCAUUCUUAUAUAUAUAAAAUUUGUACACCCUAAUCUAAUUAUAUAGGUGUGGCAGACAAGGAUUACGAGGCCAUAACGGCGUGAAAAGAUUCAGGUACAGUCCAAAGCACUGCUAUGCUUUUUCCGCAAUUCAUAACUUAUGGUGUAAGUAUUCCAGAAUCCUACAAUUCUUUUUCCCUAAUUCAUAAAUAAGGAUCUAAAGAUUCUAAAACACUUUAAAAAGUUUGCAAAAAAACAAAGAUUCUUCACUACUAUGAUUUUUACACUAUGGUGUAAAUAUUCUUAAAUACUUACUUGCCUACUAAUGGUGCAAAAAUGUUGUUUUACUUCUAUUUUUUUGGGAUCAAAUCUCGACAACAGUAUUUUUAAAUGUUGAUUAUAGCUUACUUAUAUAGAUUUUAGACUAUUUUAUAUUUUUAUCGUAGCCUUCGAAAUUGGUAUUGGAUAAUUGUUCUCUGCACUUUUGUAUUCUGCUUGCAGCCAUAUAUGCAUUUUUAAUAGCUGCAACAUUGUAAUGACCUGGAAAAUAUAUUACUAUUAUACAGCAAAAUUGUAAUGGCCGUUGUAAUGCUUUCUAAUUUUAGUUUGAAUAUAUAUAGAUUCUCUAUAUUAUAUUGUCGUGCUUUACUCUUGUGUGUUCUACUUGAAGAUCAUAUGCAUCUAUAAUACAAUAAUAAAAGACUAAUGAUUAGAAAAAUACUUUUUCCCAGCAAUAUUGUAGAUGUUAGGAAAUUUAUUCUUCAGUUUUCUUAUAUCUUGCCUUUUAUCCAUUAUUUAAGUGCUCAGACGCGCCUCUUUUUGCUCCUUCAAAAGUCACGCCUCUUACUCUUCUAUCUCAAUUUUAACCACACAUCGUUUCUCUUCCUCUUAUUUCCUCCAAGCCAAAGCAAAUCACAUAUUUCUUUUAACCAUACGUCGUUUUCUCAUUUUUUUUGUUUGCUGCAUUAUGAAUUAAUGUGUAUUUACCUUUUGUGUGUUUGACAUUUAAACUGAUGAGUUUAUAUGAUGAUCGGUUAAUAUAGACUUCAAGUUAAUUUUAAACUAAUUAAUAUAGUUUUCCAUGUGCUUAUAUCGUCCUAAUAUAUAUAGCUUAUCUUUUAUCAUAGAGGAUUCAUGCAAUGGAUAAUCACUGACCAAUUGAUAGCGUUAUCUUAAGAAUAUACAAAGAGAACUAAUCAAAGACUACUAUUUUCGUUAUAAUUCAUGCAAGGACCUUGAGAUACGUCAUGAUGCUAUCUUUUCUAUACUCUACUUUGUGAGAUGAUCUGGUCAUUUUUACGAGUAACUUUUGUUUUGGUUAUCAAUAUAUUCAUUUUUGCAAAACCAACUUUUUAGUUUAAUUUUAGUAAUCAGAUAUUUAGAAAAGCUUGCGUGGUAAAUUCAAUAAUAUAUUACCUAUAUAGGUUAUACAAAAAUAACAAAAAAGUUAGAUGACUAAAAACUCUUACAUGACAAAAAAAUUAGAGAAAAAUAAAAUAAAAAAGUGUUAAUAACAAAAUGGAUUAAAAUAUAAGUAGGAACAAAAGGUAAGGUGACUUACUUAUGUGAAAAGUCUGAUAAAUAUUAUUGUUUGUAAUAAUUAAUAUCACAUAUGACCAAUAUUUGCAUCUAAUACAAUUACUAAUUUAUAUUAUUAUCUACAAUAAUUAUAAUUAAUACUCCUAUAAUAUUAUUUAAGAGCAACAUUUAACGGGAUUCAAAGGCCUAAUUUAUAAAAGUUCAAAAAUUUAUAUAUGUGAUAUUUUUAUUUGGAUUUUCUUUUCUAUUCUAAUUUUUUCAUACGUAUAUCUUACAUUUUUUUUGUUGGUGUUACGAAAAUGUUCUCAUUUAUUUUGAUUUGACUGCGCGAAGUGCAUGCUAUUUAACUAGUUUACAAAUAAAGGGAGAGGAUAAUCUGAUGAUUUCUUAUUAGGUUUUCUAAAUCUUUAGUUGGUUAGUUUUCACAAUGUAUUCAUAGUGGUAUGUGCAAUUCCCGCAAUUAUUACCUAACAAUUUGUUGGCUUUUGCCAUAUACAUAACCAAACGCGAUCAUAAUCUUACUAAGUAUUUUGCAUUGCGUUUUCAGUAAAUUAUAAGAGAUGACCUCCUCUGCUACAUAGGUCAUAUAUCAUCAUCCUUGAUUUGUGAGCCACGGUUAACUUUCGUGUUGUUUCACCUUUGGAAACAAAAAUGAAAUUAUAUUUGUUCGCUUUGUGUAGGCCAGGUUGCCUGAUGUGAGCAAUAAUGUAUGUGUAUCUUGAGGUUGCAAAAUUAGAUUACAACAAAUGCGAAAGUCAACAUAUAUCGAUCGGCAUAAUUUUUACAUAUAAAAGAAAAGUAAUUAAGGAAAUAAAAUGGUAUUUCCCCUCACAUUUCCUUUUUGGACAUGACUGCAGUCUGCAUAAUGAACCGGUGGUUUGAAAACUGCAAGCUACAGGAGAUAAGACUACACAAAAAAUCCCUCCUAAAUGCUUAUUUCUUAAUUAGCUGCACCCAGUGUAUUUAACCAGAAUUGCACUAAACAUUGC
rnacentral:lncRNA from 1 species